AGUUCACAAGAGACCCUAUCCUGACAAUGAUUUGUCAAAAUUCACUCAAACCGGAGCUGUGGUUGUCGAACACAACGGCAAUCACAGACCUUCAAUGGCUCUCUCUUUUUGCAAGACACGUAAGAAUUCUCAUAUUAUUGUUGUGACCGACGAGGAUGGGUAUAUUAGCUUAUUCAACACUCGAUUGAAGUUUUCUUCUUCGUCUACUUUCCAAGAAAAUUCAG